rnacentral:lncRNA from 1 species
AACAUUUUGAAGGCAAGCUGUCUUGUUCAGCUUCCCUUGAGUGUGAUUUGAGUCCUUCAGGCUUGCCACAUCUGCAUAUCUCUGUCCGGCGGCAGCCAUCCCCUUCAAAGAAGAUAGAAACAUCAAAGAGCCCAAAAGCUCCAAAAUAAUCAGGAGGAAGGUGAUUUUUAGGAGGAAUACAAUAUCCACCGGAGUUAUGUUUGUUAAUUCUCAAUUUCUGAAAGCAAUCAGAAUUUGCAAAGCAGGC